rnacentral:rRNA from 1 species
UCAAGAUAAGAUUUCCCACCGCAAGGGUAAGACCCCAGAAAGACUAUCUGGUUGAUAGGUCGAAGGUGUAAGUGCAGCAAUGUAUUUAGCUUAUCGAUACUAAUAGGUCGAGGACUUGACCAA